GGAAUUGUGAAUGAGAUCAUGGGGGAGGGGUUGUUCUUUUGGCAACAAGGAACAUAAUAGGGCAGUAAUAAGUCAAAUGUUUCUAGGGCAGAGCCUUUCCUUGUCCAGCAGCCAUUGUCCUUUAACAUAUGCAAAUGAGCAAUGAUUGUGAUCCAAUCAAAGUAAGAUUGAUCCAAGCCAGUGUGAAGGCUCAUGCGCUUCACUUCCUGUCCACUUGUCUCUUAUUCUGCCAGAACUGGGCUUUGUUAGUGCUUCUCAAACCCUAGUGUACUUACUAAAGUCCUGCGGGAUCUCGUUAAAAUGCAGACUUUCAUUCAGCACUGUCCGUGGGGCCCGGAUUUGUGGGCGAUGCCUCACUUCUCACUGAGCGGCAAGGGCUGAGUGCCCCUUGAGACUCUGCCAGCCACCCAGACGUCGGUUUCCCCAACAGCCCUACGUUUGAGAUUUCCUGAACACUACCCAGUGCAACUUCCUCUUCUUUUUUGCUAGAGUUUGUCUUUUUUAGUCAGAAUUGGCAGGAAAGGAUUUCCUGAGAGUGGAGGCUGGAAGGCAAAGGGAAAUUACUGCCUUGAGGCAGCCAUUUCUUCAAUCAGUACGCAGCCUAAGCCAGGAUAGCAGAGGGAGUUUGGUCUGCCGGACUUUAAUCUGCACAUUGGAGGCAUGGCACUAUAACUCGGUCUGAUUCUCAUCUAAAAGCCCAGUUGGUUGUUAUUGUUUGGUUUUAGACUUAUGUCCCGUAAGAGUUUGCGUAGGCCUCACCCCCGAGAGGCCUCUCCAUCUUGUCUUGUGCCGACUCUCCAUCUUCUACGACUCGCCUUGGCCUCCCGUUCACUGCUUGUCUCCACUCUCACACUGCUCUUGUUGGCUCUGGCCAACUGCUGAGGAAGACAGGAUCGGAGCAUUCACAGACUUUGAAUAUGGGCAGACAGUUCAAACACCAAGCCAAUACCCUCAGCAUCUGUCUCCUUGGAAAGCACUUGAGAUUUUACAACACAGAGAGAAGAGGGACAGAAACUGUUCUUAGAAGGCUUGCCAUCAAGAAGGGUAGCAGACUUGUAUGUGCAUAACUCCAGAAACAAGAGGGCAGCAAUGAAGGCAUAUAGAGGAAGAGAGAAGGCAAAGGGGGCAUCAGCCGGGCCAGGCAGGACUGCCUGCUGGAACACAGGGUUUGCCCUGAACUUGCAGGGGGCCCAGGGAGACAACCGAAAAGCAAUUAAGUUUAGGACAGAGUGAGAUGCAGGGGAGUGCAUCUCUUCAAGGCAGAAUGAUGUGCAGAGAAGAGCACGGCUUUUCUGCGAGGGACUCCAGGGCAGAUGGAACAGAGGGUUUCCUGCGAUGUGCAAUGGGUCAUUCGAUUGGAAGACAGGAUGGACUUAGACGGUGAACUGCUCAGACCCAAGAGUUCAGUAUUCAGUCCCUGUGUUACUACUGCAGACAGACACUUUUGUUUAUCUCCCCGGCUGGUAUUACAUCCUCUUUUUUUCUUUGCUAAAAAGCCAUAAUGAUCAGAACUUUGCAUUUUACGUACUAUUGGGCCAUAUAAAAAUGGUUUUGUAGUUGUUUGGCUAGAGGAAUGGGGUAAGAGCUGAUUCAUUCUUUAUGUAGAAAACCCUGUGGAUAGUGGAAGGGCUGGGUAGGAGGGGAAGAGAUCUGAGACAGCCAACAUCAAAGUAAAGGCUCUGAGUAGCAAUAGGAUACACCUGAACAGCUUCCAGACUAAAAUAGAGCAAAACAAACAAACAAACAAACAAAACCCAGGCACAAUAACCUAGAAAGAUCAUAACACCCUGGCCACACUGGAAUGAAAACAACUCAUUUAUUUUGAUUUGCUUCAUUCUAAUGGACAACUGAGGUCAACUGCAG
ensembl:lncRNA